AGUGAACGCUGGCGGUAGGCCUAACACAUGCAAGUCGAACGGCAGCACAGGAGAGCUUGCUCUCUGGGUGGCGAGUGGCGGACGGGUGAGGAAUACAUCGGAAUCUACUCUGUCGUGAGGGAUAACGUAGGGAAACUUACGCUAAUACCGCAUACGACCUACGGGUGAAAGCAGGGGACCUGCGGGCCUUGCGCGAUUGAAUGAGCCGAUGUCGGAUUAGCUAGUUGGCGGGGUAAAGGCCCACCAAGGCGACGAUCCGUAGCUGGUCUGAGAGGAUGAUCAGCCACACUGGAACUGAGACACGGUCCAGACUCCUACGGGAGGCAGCAGUGGGGAAUAUUGGACAAUGGGCGCAAGCCUGAUCCAGCCAUACCGCGUGGGUGAAGAAGGCCUUCGGGUUGUAAAGCCCUUUUGUUGGGAAAGAAAUCCAGCUGGCUAAUACCCGGUUGGGAUGACGGUGCCCAAAGAAUAAGCACCGGCUAACUUCGUGCCAGCCGCCGCCGUAA
rnacentral:rRNA from 1 species